GGGGUGCUCGAGUGGCGAACGGGUGAGUAACACGUGAGUAACCUGCCCUUGACUUUGGGAUAACUUCAGGAAACUGGGGCUAAUACCGGAUAGGAGCUCCUGCUGCAUGGUGGGGGUUGGAAAGUUUCGGCGGUUGGGGAUGGACUCGCGGCUUAUCAGCUUGUUGGUGGGGUAGUGGCUUACCAAGGCUUUGACGGGUAGCCGGCCUGAGAAGGUGACCGGCCACAUUGGGACUGAGAUACGGCCCGG
rnacentral:rRNA from 1 species